GCAAAGCCUUCCACAAACCCUCUCUGCUCACUCCUCACCUUCAGUGACUUCAAUGCAGAAGCUGUCAAGAACAAGGUACCACCCCUGCCUCGCCUCUGCUCAGGUGACCUAGGCCGAGGUCACCCCUAACACAGUCCUACCCCAACCCCAGGCCCAGUCUGUGCGAGAGGUAUUUGCCCGGCAGCUGAUGCAGGUGCGUGGACUGAGUGGGGAGAAGGCAGCAGCCCUGGUGGAUCGAUACAGCACCCCUGCCAGUCUCCUGGCUGCCUAUGAUGCCUGUGCCACCACCAAGGAGCAGGAGAUGCUGCUGAGCACCGUCAAGUGUGGGCGUCUGCAGAGAAAUCUGGGACCUGCUCUGAGCAGGACCCUGUACCAGCUGUAUUGCAGCCACAGCCCUUUGACCUGAGCUAUACCUGGAAAUGCUCCCCAGCACCCAUCUUCAUCUCUACCAAGGCUAGCCUUUUAACAGGUCCUCUGGGCUUUAAUAAAAAUCCAAAUGUGUGUGGUGUUAAGGAA
rnacentral:lncRNA from 1 species